rnacentral:tRNA from 1 species
UCUUCGAUAGUCUAAUGGUCAGGAUAUCUGCUUGUCACCUGGACGGGGAAUUGAACCCCGACUCUCGGAGCAUCGCAGGGGAUCGGGGUUCAAUUCCCCGUCGAAGAG